UUCAGAUAACAGAUAGCACGUUAAUCCAACUUUCUAUACACUGUCCUCGACUUCAAGUAUUGAGUCUGUCUCACUGUGAGCUGAUCACAGACGAUGGAAUUCGUCACCUGGGGAAUGGGGCCUGCGCCCAUGACCAGCUGGAGGUGAUUGAACUGGACAACUGCCCACUAAUCACAGAUGCUUCCCUGGAGCACUUGAAGAGUUGUCACAGCCUCGAGCGGAUAGAACUCUAUGACUGCCAGCAAAUCACACGGGCUGGGAUCAAGAGACUCAGGACCCAUUUGCCCAAUAUUAAAGUCCACGCCUACUUCGCACCUGUCACUCCACCCCCAUCAGUAGGGGGCAGCAGACAGCGAUUCUGCAGAUGCUGCAUCAUCCUAUGACAAUGGAGGUGGUCAACCUUGGUGAACUGAGUAUUUAAUGACACUUCUAGAGUUACAGUGGAGUCUCCAAUGGAAGCAACCCCAGUGUUCUGGGCAAGGGUUACAAAGUGAGGGCAGCAUCCAGAUCCCCAGAGCCACACAUAACAUGCAAACCCACCCUCACCCCCACCCACUCUAGUUCUGUGACCAGGGGACUGAAGCCCACGCUGGCUUUAUCAAGUGGAUUGGUAAAACUUAACCAUUCCUGUUGGACAUGCCAAGAAGAAAAUCAUAGGCAAGGUGGAGGGAAGGGGGCAUUCCAGCAAAUGCAGAGUUACUGCUCCUGCCGUUUCUUCAUUUUUUGAAGGGGUUUCUUUGGUGAUUUUGGAACAGCAACUGCAGUCCUCCAGGGUCAAGGAAAGCAUAGAAAAACAAGAUAUGUUGUAUCCAGGGACCAGAAAGAAAAAUUCUUUGCAUCCUAUACAUGGUAGCCAUCCCUCAUGAGAUGACUACAGAGCUUCUGUGCUUCCUUGUUCCCAUGCCAACAUGCUGAGCAUGCUCCCAAAGAAGGCUCAUCCAUUCCUCCUCCUGUGUUUUUUAGUAUUUGGCCCAGAGGUUUCCUAAAAGGUUGCACUGAAAUCGCUGUGGUCCAAAUGUGAUUACUUACUCACUCAAAUUGUCACUCUGUAGCACACUUGUGCACCUGUCUUUCGUUCUCUGUUGCUCCCUCCCGCACUCUUGCUCAGUCUGUCACCUGUUCAUUGUGUGCUUACUCACACUCAGUUGUUACUCUUUUGCCAUUGUGUUUACAGUGUGCAUUUUGGAUGAUUAGUUGGGGUUACCAACCAUUUUUAAAAGAGACAUUAUCAAUAAAUAUUUUUUUAAUUCUAAAUUUUACCAUUAGGGGACCCUGCCUGAAUCUUUGCCAGUCUGAAGGGAAACUAUCACAAAACCAAGAAAUGGUAUGAGAAGAAAUUGAGUUAAAAUUGUUUUGACGAAAACAAACUUUGCCUUUGGGUUUCUGUUAUACCUUGUGAUAUAUAAUAAUACGCAUGAUAUGCGCAAUGUUCUCCCUGCACAUUUUUCUUCCCGUCAGACUCCACUAACUUAAUAAGGAGAGAGAAAUGCAUUAUUUGUAAAGAGUGAAAUGGCGAAUCCCAAAACUGAGCCCAAAAGCACCCCCCACCCAAGCUCAGACAUGUCGGAUGUUCACUGAAAUCUAGGUGUGAGCAGUAGCAUCCCUGAUUUGUGUCUGUGAGGUUGUUUUGUUUUAGUAGGAGUGCUGCUAGAGUUGCUGUGCCAUCUAGCUGGUCAGGUUCUCUCCCACCCCCCCACCCCCGUUCCAGCCUGUCAGGAAUAUCAGAAUGAUCCUAGAACAGGUGGUCAGCUGUAUGUCAGUGUUGAUGAUGUAUCUCGAAUGUUGGCACCUCAAAGGACCAGAACCAUUUCAAAACCUAUCAACCCUAUCUUUCUUACGCUCCGGACUUCCCAUGAAUGAAAUACAGGGGUAACCAGGUGAAGACUUUGAGAGGAAGCAGGGGGUUCACUGUCUCUGCCCAGCAUGGUCAGCAGAACUGAAGGCAGGUAUUCAGUGCCCAUGACUCAGAGGCAAAGAAGAGGCUUCCUUCCUUCCCCCGAAAAGUCAUAAAGGAUGAGGGAACUAAAAUGAGCUUCUAAAGUAUAAGAAGUAGAUUUCUAAACCCCAAGGUUAGAAACCUCAUGUGGUUUUUAAUAGGACACUUUUUUUUUUUCCUUUUGGUCUUUUAGGACAUUAUUGUGCAGUCUGCCGUGAUCUUAGAUCAUCUUCUGCAUGAUCCAGGCUGUUAAAAGGCUUGUUGUAAUGCUGCAGGUGCUGGCUCUUCAUAAAGCAUGACUUAGUUCUCCACAAGCAGUUCGAGGAAAGGACACUAGAAAUCUGUACUGUCCACCAUUAUUUUGCAUGUUAAAUUUAUUUUAAACUCUCAAAUUACUUUUAGUUUUCAUUCCCCCUUCCCCUUAACCUCUUUUCAAAUUAUCAUGUGAAGAAUAUACUUAAAUUUCAUUUUUAUUUGAGUAUAGUUGGCAUAAGGAUAUACCUUUUAAAGUGAGACUCACUCUCCUGGUUAUACCCCACACGUACAAAUAUACACACUUGCACACUCUUCCAGAUGUGGUUAAUAUUCAGAUCCCCGGGUCACUCAUUCAAACAAAAGUAAAAAGAGGAAUAUUUAGGGGCCAUCUGCUCUGACAUAUUAAGGCUUUUUUAGUAUUGCCUGAACAAAUUGACUAUAAAACCCUGAUUGAUUAGUGAGUAUGGGUUUAAAUUGCCCACCAGUUGAGGACAUUAAGGUACUUCUUUACUUAAAAAGUACAUAAAUGUAAAAGACCCUAUUCACCAGGACAUGAACAUCUUGGAAAUGCCGUUUCUCAACUCAAAGAGUGGACCCACGUGCAGGGCCCUGUGGACUUGCUCAGGCGAUCCCUACCUGUCUGGGCCAAGAGCACAGUCCAGUGAGAGAAAAAAGGAGUGUGAGCACUGUGCUUGUAUGUGGUCAGGCCUUGCUCCCUUCGCAAGAAAGCUUCAGGCAGGCCCAUCAAGCUUGGAAGGAAAUAGAUUUUUUAUGCCAAUCUGCAACCUACACCAGCUGAUGAAAUGUACCGGGAAUUUAAGAACCCAGAACAUGGUAAGUUUUGGUCAGGUGGAAAGGGCCCCGCCAUCCUGUCUUAAUAUCAGGGAUACUUUUGAAAAUUCAGUAAGGCUUCAGAGUUUAGGAAAGGCUUCUUGGCCCAUUUGUCUGACUCCAGAGCCCCGGCCCUCUACGCCUUCUGUGAUGAAGAAAUACAAAGUGAAUGGAGAGAUUCGGGAUAAGUCAGAAGGUACCCUCAGAGCUAUUGCCUAGACCUGCAGGUAGCCAGGAGGGGUUAUUGCUAUGUCUGUGGAGAACGUUAUUAAACAUCCAGAUCACCUCUUUUCCAAGCAGCCUUUCCCCCUACAUUUUCCAGCAUCAUUUGCUACAUCAGUAUCUUUUCUGGCCUCUAUACUGGCUCCAUCAAGGUGAUCCCAGCUUCUUCUUUUUUUUUUUUUGGACUGCUCCCAUUUUCUUCCUGUACUCAUUCUUGUCUUCUAUUUAAAGCCUCCGUCUCACUCCCAAUGAUGCUGCUGAUUUAUUCUCAAUGUCUCCAGUCUAGCUUCCUUUUUGGGUCCUUGUUCUGAUCUAAGCAAAGUCUCUGGGCAGCCUUGAAUACAGUAACUGUUGUGUGGUUCAGGCCAUUUUUCACCGGGUGGUCUUGGACGUUUGCUUACCAAAUUUGAAAUCACGCUGUUGGAUAUGUAAGAAUAUUUCUUAAAUGGUUUUUGUAAAUUUCCACAUCCAUUAAGUUGAUGUAGCAGACCUAUAAGUCAGAAAUUUUACAUUUUCUUUACAGCACAUAUUUUAGAGGGACACCUGGCAAAUAUUUUUAUGAUGCUUUAUUUUGGGCUUUCCAAACCAUUUGAACUGUUGAGUACAGCUCUAAUGCUACAGCAGUCGGGUUCUUUAUUUCUCCUAAUUGCCUUGUAAAAUGCUUUGUUACCGGUUUGAUGGCCCACUCAUGCCGUGGGGGGUAAACAGGGUACGCGGGAACUUGUCCUGGUCUGAAGUUGUAGGGAAGUGUGAGAGUGGCACCGGAAGGAAGACGGGGCUGCCUGCCUGCCUGUGUGGACAGCGUAUGUUCAGGGAACUGUGGUUUUGAAGAAGAGGAACACUUGUGGAUCGUGGUUGACCCUUGGCCGUUUAAUGUUUAUUGUGCUGAAAGUCACAGGCUCCUUAUGACAGGUGCUACCAGUGUGAGAGGAGGGACUUAAAGGAAAUGGGUCUGUUCUGCCUUUCCCUCCUUGUGUGCAUGGUCUAAGAUUAGGUUUCCAUCCCCAUUGUGCAUCCUGGCUGAGGGACUUUCAGUGGUAUUCUUUGAGCUUCCGGAACUUUUUUUUUUUUUUUUUAAGAUUGCCUUCUUAUGUGUCCACCAGUUCUAGGAUCUUUAACCACCUCAAACCCAGGCAGUGUGAAUGAGCUGAGACUUGUUUGAGACGAGGGGGAGGACGUUUGGUUGGAGGUCUUGAGGCAAACCCUCCCCUUUACAAUGAUCUUGGACCAAAGAACCCUAAAGCAGUAGGAGGGUGAGGGGAAAUAUGGAGUCUAAGCUUCUCGUCACCUUUAUUUCUAUCAUAAACUUUAAUAGUAAUAUUGGAAGAUACAGAAAACUAUAUAAUACCAUGUCAGUUGGCUAUAAUUAACCCAGGUAAUUUGGGAAUAACAUUUGGCUCUAUUUGCUAUAUCCAGGUGCCCUAACUGAACAGUUUGGUUCUCCAGCAAAGAACAUGCUGCUCUAAGCUUGCCCUCUCACUUGAGACAAACUCUACUUGCCAGAAACUACCAUUUGAGGCAAGUGCUUUUUCUGCAUGAAGGGCUUCUGCAGCUCCCCCUCACAAGGCAAGUCUCUCUCUUUGUCCAUUUUUAUUCUUAGGAACAUCAGAUCUGCAUCUCUGAAGGCUUUGACCCUUAGGAAAGUCCAUAAGAACCUCUCAGCUGAGUCUGAGUGAAUCUUUGGAGCCCAACAGAAUUACACUUAAUUUUCAGCAGGAAAAAAAAAAUGUCUUGGGUAAGCUCACAUGUGGGAUAUUAAGAGAAAUUCCAUAAUGUGCUUCUUCCAUCUCUGCCUCAUGCGUUUUUUGAGUAAGCCCCCGGUGGAGUCUGGUUCGCAGGUGUUGAGUACCUCCUCAGCCAAGGUGUCUCACUGCCCUUUUAGGAAAAAGAAACAUGAGCAACCAGAACUGUGUCAAUGGACUCUUAUUUUCUGUGUUUUUCAGUGUCUUGUUUUGAAGAAUUGGGGUGGGGAAAUGGUAAUGAGAUUGAAAGUAAAGGAGAGAAUCGGCUCUGGAACUGGGGCACUUUGCUUCAGGUACAAGCAUCUGUCCCGAAUAUAUAGAAACACCUGCCUCACGCAUGUGACUAGAUUUGCUUUCCUCUGCAUCCCGUGAACUCCAUGCCCUUCUCACCGGCACGGAGGGCUUCUGCCUACCACGCACCCGACCAGUCACCCAGAUGGGGAUUGGCACCCCCCAAAGAACCCCCAGUGCUUCUGGGUGUGGCUCCCCCCACCCAGGGCAGGAGCAGGUAGGCAGUGAGUGAGAAUCCCCACCCCAAGAAGAGAUGGGAGAGGAGAGGUGUCCAGACACAUACCUUUUCUCUUCUGCCACACCCCAAGAACCCAGGGAAAUCUUUGAAGUGAUAUCUUAUUUAUUGAAGUGGAAGAAGAAAUCUUUGCCCCACGACGAAGUUCCGCUUGUCACUGUUGCUUACUGCUUAUUUUCACUAAUUCAAAUCUGUGUCUCACUGCUGCUCACACACGUGUUUCUUACCUUAGCCUAACCCUUCUCAGCCCCUGAAGUCAUUAUUUCUGUGUUGUUUUUCUUUCUUUCUUUCUUCCUUUUUUUUUUCUUAUGGCACUAGUGAACGACAACCGAAAGUCUUAGAAAAUCCUAACUUGAAAAAGGAGUCUCUAACUGGCAUGGUUUGAUUAAUUACUUUACCCCCCCCACACACACACCCCCAAAGACUUGAAUGAUUUUCUUUCCUAGAGCUAUAUAAUAGACCUGUAAAAAGUGAAACCUUUGCUGCUGCUUUUCUGGGUUUACAUGUUUUUUCCUGCCCUUAAGAAUCUUACCUGUGCUUCUCUGAUGACUGUUACUUUCUAAUAAGUGCAGGAAGGAGGUGAGCCUGAGAUUUCUUCUCUUACUCCCCUCCUCACCCUACCCCCAAACUCCAUGCUAACCUCUAACACGUAAGCUCUGUGGGGCGGGGCUCAGGAGCUGCGUGGGGGGUCUUUUCUCCCCCUGCCGUGGCUCUGCUCUCGCAGCCGGCCCCUGAGGAUCUGUGACUGCCCAGUCUGAAGGCUUGGAAGGGUUACGGCCAGGUGAUCGGCCCGGGGGAGAAAGUCCUCUUCUGCCUUUUGCCUUCUUCCAUUCCUGUUUAAUGACUCAGCCUUCAGCUGCCUCCCACCCUGGCUGCCUCCUUUUUCCUACCAGGAAUUGCUUCCAGGUAACUUGCCUCAGGCAGUUUCCGGCUGCUCUCCUCAGCCUUGCCCACCUUCCCGUGACCCUGAGAGCACAGAUCUGUGCGGAGCUCAGCUGGGAGGACCACCCCUGCCUGUCAGACUCUGCCCGAGGAUGGAGAUGGGUGGGCAAAUGGUGCUGCGGGAGAAAUUUUUACCUUCAAACCAGGCUGUUCCAUCCCUGCACUAACCCCCUCGGACCCCUCUCCCCGUGAGGAAACAGAAGGCAGAGGAUGGUUGACUGGCAGGGUCUGAUCCCAAACCUUGCUGUGGCCUCAGCCUCCUGCAGCCAUUCGGCCUGCCCCGGAGUGCUUCAGUGUGCGGGAGCUGCUGCUGACUUGUUUCUCCACCAGGCCUGCCCCCCCGCGCUCAGCCGCUCCCUGGGCUGACCCGGUCCCCGACUCGGUGACUGAACACCAGGCUCCAUUAGUUGUCCAAGUGACUGCUUCCACCCAAUACUUUUGGCGCUUGAGGAUGGGGGGAGGGAGGGUUAUUUAAAAUAAAAUCCAAGGUGGCAGUAGAGGAUUCCUUUUGCUUUAAAAUCUUUGGACUAAAAGAAAAAUGUUUUUUAUAUAUAAAUAUAUAAAGUAAAUUGUUAUGUAACUAUUACUGUUUCCUGUAUGUUCUAAUUUUGUUUUAUGAUGUAAUUAAAGGAAAUAAGCUGUGAA